CCCAGCUAGACGAAGAGAAGAGACAGCGGCAGGAGUUGGCAGAGAGGUUGGAGCAGGAGCGGAAGCUGAGGGAGGAGCAGGAGCAUAGGGUUGCCGCCAUGUUCGCCUACAUUCAAGGUCAGGUGCAUCGAUAAACUCAACCGCCGCCAACAAUGCCGUGGCCUCCGCCAACUCCACCUCCACCACAGUUGCAACUGCAGUCACUCCCAAUCAAUCGGGGGUGGCAUCGAAUGAACCUCUGGAUGAUCACUCUCCGGCGUCACAGUGGCCAGGUUCAAGAUCUGAGAAGAGAUGAUUAUGGUAUCGUUCGGUUGUUAGACAUGUGUGCGCUGUACUAUGGACUUUGAUGUUAGAUUUGUGGUUGUUAGACUUGCGGACGUUGGACUUCUCGCUGUUGGACUUGUCGAUGUUGGAAUAAUGCUUGUGAAUGUUCGACUCAGAUUUGUGGACUAAAUUUGAAUGUCAUGUGAUAUUUGUGAUAUAUAUGCGAUGUUUGUGAUGAAUGUGACA